rnacentral:rRNA from 1 species
AUUGAACGCUGGCGGCAGGCCUAACACAUGCAAGUCGAGCGGCAGCGGGAAAGUAGCUUGCUACUUUUGCCGGCGAGCGGCGGACGGGUGAGUAAUGCCUGGGGAUCUGCCCAGUCGAGGGGGAUAACUACUGGCAACGGUAGCUAAUACCGCAUACGCCCUACGGGGGAAAGCAGGGGACCUUCGGGCCUUUCGCGAUUGGAUGAACCCAGGUGGGAUUAGCCAGUUGGUGAGGUAGUGGCUCACCAAGGCGACGAUCCCUAGCUGGUCUGAGAGGAUGAUCAGCCACACUGGAACUGAGACACGGUCCAGACUCCUACGGGAGGCAGCAGUGGGGAAUAUUGCACAAUGGGGGAAACCCUGAUGCAGCCAUGCCGCGUGUGUGAAGAAGGCCUUCGGGUUGUAAAGCACUUUCAGCGAGGAGGAAAGGUUGGUAGCUAAUAACUGCCAGCUGCGACGUUACUCGCAGAAGAAGCACCGGCUAACUCCGUGCCAGCAGCCGCCGUAAAAC